UACGUGGGGUGCAAGCAUUAAUCGGAUUUAUUGGGCGUAAAGGGUGCGUAGGCGGAGAAGAAAGUGGGAUGUGAAAUGCCGGGGCUUAACCCCGGCGCGGCAUUCCAAACUCCUUUUCUUGAGGGUAAUCGGGGAGAAUGGAAUUCCACAUGUAGCGGUGAAAUGCGUAGAUAUGUGGAAGAACACCGGUGGCGUAGGCGAUUCUCUAGAUUAUACCUGACGCUGAGGCACGAAAGCUGGGGGAGCAAACAGG
rnacentral:rRNA from 1 species